rnacentral:lncRNA from 1 species
GAUCUGGCUCUCGAGAUUUGGAUAACGGUGCCUCUUCGAUUUUUUAGAGAGCAAUCCUGUUGGGAAUCUGGCUCUCGAGAUUCGAAGAGCGGUGUCUCUUCGAUUUUUGAGAAAUUAAUCAUGUUAGGAGUUUGGCUCUCGAGAUUCGGAGAACGGUGCCUUUUCGAUUUUAGAGCAAGCAAUCUUGUUGGGAGUGUUUUCUCGAAUAUAAGUAAAGGUAGGGCAUGUUUGCUAGUCUACCUUGCCACGAAGCACAGAGGUUGACACACAGGGACUUUCCAAUUAUCCAGCAGUGGUGUUGUUCCUUUACCCUUGUGGGUAAUAAUAUGAUAGCUAGACUUUCAAAAUUUAUGUGUCUAAACUUUGUUAGUGCUGUUUCUUUGCUAUUCUUUUACCCUUCUUGGUCAUAACGAUGUAGUGGGAGCUGCAAGCUUCACGUGUCUAAACUUUGUCAGAGAUCUUUGGUAAAGUUAUCUGUAGUACCCCUGAGGUGAUGGUACGUGUGAAAAAUGGAUGAUUGAACAGUAAGAUUCACGUGCUUUCUACUUCACCAGAAAUCUUCAACAGAAUGCCCGUAAUUUCAGCAAAGCUGAGUGUGCAUGUGACAGGUGCUGACAAGGCUGAAAAAAACAGGUGCCUCUUCGAUUUCUGAGAUCGGCCUUCGUGGUCUCUGAGCAGCCCAGCUUUUGAGAAAGAAAGCCUCUUCGAUUUCUGAGAUCGAUCUUCGUGGUCUUUGAGCAGCUCAGCUUUUGAGAAAGCAAACGUCUCUUCGAUUUUUGAGAUCGGCCCUCGUGGUCUCUGAGCAGCCUAGCUUUUGAGAAAGCAAACGCCUCUUCGAUUUCUGGGCAGACGCCUCUUCGAUUUCUGAAGCUCCAUCGAGUGCAGAUUUUUAUAGAGGCUGACAUUAAGUUUCAAAGCACACUUGAAUCUUCACCAGUAGAAGCUCCAUUCUUGCACUUCUAAGAUCUUGAUUUGUCCGACCUCUUCUCUCUUCAACACAUUUGAAAAUGUCUGGCCCCUCUGACCGUCGUUUUGACUUGAACCUUGUUGAAGAGGCAGCCACGCCUUCUCCAUACAACAUAUGGCGCCCAUCCUUCUUAUCCCUUACUGGUCCUCUUACCGUUGGGGAUUCCGUGAUGAAGAAUGAUAUGACCGCUGCGGUGGUGGCCAGGAACCUUCUCACUCCCAAAGAUAACAGACUACUUUCCAAACGGUCUGAUGAAUUGGCUGUUAAGGAUUAUCUGGCUCUAAGUAUUCAGUGUGCAGAUUCUGUGUCUAAUAUGGCCCAACGCCUAUUUGCUCGAACCCGCCAACUUGAAUCAUUGGCGGCUGAAGUGAUGAGUCUCAAACAGGAGAUUAGAGGGCUCAAGCAUGAGAAUAAACAGUUGCACCGGCUCGCACAUAACUAUGCUACAAACAUGAAGAGGAAGCUUGACCAGAUGAAGGAAUCUGAUGGUCAGGUUUUACUUGAUCAUCAGAGAUUUGUGGGUUUAUUCCAAAUGCAUUUAUUGCCUUCGUCUUCUGGGGUUGUACCGCAUAAUGAAGCUCCAAAUGAUCAACCUCCGAUGCCUCAUCCUUCUAGGGUUCUGUCCAGUACUGAGGCUCCGAAUGAUCCCCCUCCGAUGCCUUCUCUUUCUGGGGCUCUACCGACUGCUGAGACUUCUCCUAAGCAACCUUUGUGAAGGCUUCCUCUUGUUUGUUUAUUUUGACUCAUGUAUAUGUACAUAUUUGUAACUUAUCGGAGAUAUAAAUAAAUAAGCUUUACUUCAUUUCCAACGUAUUGUGUUAAAUACACCAAAGCCUUCUUCACUGAGUGGGGUCGGCUAUAUGAAUCAUAGAACGCCAUUGCGCUCGGUUUUGUGUCAUGUCCUCCGUUAGAUCCAAGUACUCUAAGUCUUUUCUUAGAGUCUCUUCCAAAGUUUUCCUAGGUCUUCCUCUACCCCUUCGGCCCUGAACCUCUGUCCAGUAGUGACAUCUUCGAACCGGAGCGUCAAUAGGCCUUCUUUGCACAUGUCCAAAUCACCGGAACCGAUUUUCUCUCAUAUUUCCUUCAAUUUCGGCUACUCCUACUUUACCUCGGAUAUCCUCAUUCUCAAUCUUAUCCUUUCUCGUGUGCCCACACAUCCCACGAAGCAUCCUCAUCUCCGCCACACCCAUUUUUUGUACGUGUUGAUGCUUUACCGCCCAACAUUCUGUGUCAUACAACAUCGCUGGCCUUAUUGCCGUCCUAUAAAAUUUUCCCUUGAGCUUCAGUGACCUAUGACGGUCACACAACACGCCGGAUGCAUUCUUACACUUCAUCCAUCCAGCUUGUAUUCUAUGGUUGAGAUCUCCAUCUAAUUCUCCGUUCUCUUGUACGAUAAAUCUUAGGUAGCGAAAACGGUCGCUUUUUGUGAUAUUCGCUAGAUUGCUCCGGUCAUUAGUAUGGAUAAGUAUAUAAAUGGAUAGAGAUAGGAAAGCGAACACAAGAUGUACGUGGUUCACCCAGAUUGGCUACGUCCACGGAAUAGAGGAGUUCUCAUUAAUUGUGAAGGGUUUACACAAGUACAUAAGUUCAAGCUCUCCUUUAGUGAAUACAAGUGAAUGAUUUAGUACAAAUGAUAUUAGGAAAUAUUGUGGGAGAAUGAUCUUGUAAUCACGAAACUUCUAAGUAUCGGAGUGUGGUAUCGUCUUGACGUGCCUUAUCUGUCUCAUAGGUAGAUGGGGCAUCUUCUCUGGAAGUACUCUUCCUCCAUCCAGGGGUGGUAUCUUUAACUGGUGGAGAUGCACAAGGUAAUGUAUCAAUUUCACUUGAAGCUUACUUGUAGUUUCAGGCUUGGUCAAGCGCGAUACAAACCAUGUAGUAGGAGUCCCCCAAGUCGCCGAGCUAGGGGAUCUGCUGAAAGAGGUGACAGACAAGGUAAGCAAUCAUAGCUCCGGCUGAUUGUUCACAGUCUCCCUAUCUUGAAGGCAGCAUGAAGGAUAAAGAGAAGAAAAUGAGAAGAGAUGAUAUGUGAUACUUUUGCUUUUGAAGAAGUAACUUUCCACAGGCUUAUUCUUGAACUGAGCUGGAGGGUUUUCUGGUUUCCUCCAGAGUAUAAGGCCGACUGAAGAAUUUGAGGGUCAAAACAAGUCCAUCAAAUCUAGAGUACGUUCGACCCUGCUGAUAUGGGAUACUUUUGCUUUGACAGAGUAAUGGAUGUAUCGGCACGUGUGCUAUUACGCUUGUCUCCACAUGCUUCCUUGUAUCCUUCUCCCUUGCCCUAUCUGUUCCUCAGGUAGAUGCGGUAUCUUCCCUGGAAGCAUAAGAUGUUGAAGAUGAGUACUCGAGAGCAAUGUCAGGUAAGUAAUCAGGUAAGGGGUUCCAGGCAGUCAGUUCCUGGCCGGAAGCUUGAUUCCAAGUACUGACUGAUUGCUCUCUUUCUCCUUGUCUUGCAGGUAAGAACAAGGUCAAAGGAAAAGACAGGGAAAAAGCAUGAUAUGGGAUACUCUUGCUUUUAACCCUGAUGAUAUGAGAUAUUCUUGCUCUAGUAUAGCUUGUUGCAGAGGUAUUAUCGGGGGGAAAGAAAGCUGAAUAUUUCGAAAGGCUUCGUUAGGAGUGCCCUCUCAGAUAUGAGGAAGGGUUGAGCAUUUUUGCAGGUCUGCCUGUCAGUUGGGGAUGGAGGUCGACAUAUAUAGGAGUCUCCUUAACAACAAGUAGUAAUGCUAUUCCUUUACCCUACUUGGUCAUAGCACAGUAGUGGGAGCUGCCAGCUUCACAUGUUUUAACGUUGUCAGAGCACUUUGAAAAAGUGGUUUGUGGUAUCUGGAAAACUGAUGUUGCGUGUGAAGAUUACAAACAGCUUUAUCCAAGGAGAUCCGGCUCUUGAAGUUGGGAAAGUGUUGCCUCUUCGGUUUUCGAACAAGCAAUCCUAUCGGGGAUCUGGCUCUCGAGAUUCGGAGAACGAUGCCUCUUCGAUUUUUGAGAAAGCAAUCAUGCUGGGGGUCUGGCUCUCGAGAUUCGGAGAGCGGUGGCUCUUCGAUUUUUGGGAAAGUAAUCAUGUUGGGAGUCUGGCUCUCGAGAUUCGGAGAGCGGUGCCUCUUCAAUUUUGGAGCAAGCAAUCUUGUUGGGAGUGUUUUCUCGAAUGUGAGUGAAGGUUGGGCAUGUUUGCUAGUCUACCUUGCCACGAAGCACAGAGGUUGACACACAGGGACUUUCCAAUUAUCC